UCGAGCGCGGGAAGCUGACUGAAUCCUUCGGGAGGACGUGAGUGGAACGAGCGGCGGACGGGUGAGUAACACGUGGGCAACCUGCCUGUAAGACUGGGAUAACUCCGGGAAACCGGGGCUAAUACCGGAUAGUACUUUSGUUCAUAGGAACCGAAGUGGAAAGGUGGCGCAAGCUACCACUUACAGAUGGGCCCGCGGUGCAUUAGCUAGUUGGUGAGGUAACGGCUCACCAAGGCAACGAUGCAUAGCCGACCUGAGAGGGUGAUCGGCCACACUGGGACUGAGACACGGCCCAGACUCCUACGGGAGGCAGCAGUAGGGAAUCUUCCGCAAUGGACGAAAGUCUGACGGAGCAACGCCGCGUGAACGAAGAAGGUUUUCGGAUCGUAAAGUUCUGUUGUUAGGGAAGAACAAGUACCGUUCGAAUAGGGCGGUACCUUGACGGUACCUAUCGAGGAAGCCCCGGCUAACUACGUGCCAGCAGCCGCGGUAAUACGUAGGGGGCAAGCGUUGUCCGGAAUUAUUGGGCGUAAAGCGCGCGUAGGCGGUUUCUUAAGUCUGAUGUGAAAUCUUGCGGCUCAACCGCAAGCGGUCAUUGGAAACUGGGGAACUUGAGUACAGAAGAGGAGAGCGGAAUUCCACGUGUAGCGGUGAAAUGCGUAGAGAUGUGGAGGAACACCAGUGGCGAAGGCGGCUCUCUGGUCUGUAACUGACGCUGAGGUGCGAAAGCGUGGGGAGCGAACAGGAUUA
rnacentral:rRNA from 1 species